GUGGGUGGUUUCUCUGCUCGGGUUGGUGGCUCGGUUAGAUUUGCUCGUCCGCCCGCGUAUUGCCGCCGUGCUGCGGACUGUGGGCACCAUGCUGGGAUGGCCCGCUGAUCUGUGACCCGUCCCCGUCGUCUUGGGUGUGGCUUGCUUGGUGCCAUGCUGCUGUGCCCGACGCGCGGCCGGGGCGCAGUGGACGUGCGUGUGUCACUCCGUGGGCUCGCUGCCGCGUCGCGUGCGUCUGCCAUGCCCAGGCUGCUGAGUGCCCUUCUUCCUUGUCUCCACCCCGCUGCAGCCUCUCCUCGUGGUCGUGGCUCGCCUAGCUUCCUUCGACUGUCCUCUGCUGCGGUCUGUUGCGGUGGCCUCAUUUGCUCUAUGGGCGCCGCUGGUUGGCUUGGUUCGACUUGCCGUUGUCGCCUGCGUUGAGCUGUGGGUCUUUCUGUCCUUCUCGUUCUGGUUGUUUUCCUCGUCUGUCCUGAUGUUUGGAUUGCGUGCUCCUCCUUCCUAGCUUUGGUUGUACGAUCUCGCCCGUUGCUGCUUGCCAUUUGGUUAUGUGGUACAGUGUGAAUCCGGUGGCAGCCCAGAUCUGAACUGCGCAUAGGGGCCGGUGUUCUCGGCCAGAUUUGGGCGUUCUUGCUGACUUUCUGUCUAACCUAUCCACAAGUAUACUCAGUGGCGGAGCUAGCUCCCGACGACCUGGGGCAGCUACCCGGGCUGCUCCGGCCAUUCUUCACUAAAAAUACAAAGAAACCAUGAUCAGCAUUACUAAUUACUUGGGCAAAUGCUGGGCAACAUCGUCGUGUAAAGACUUUGCCCCGGCUCCUUCAGCUGGCUGGCUCCGCCACUGAGUAUACUAGCCCAUUUCUGUUUAUUUGAUUUUCCUUUCCAAGUGCAUGGUUUAAUUUAUCCUGGUUUGCAUACCUUUUUUAUGUUACCUUGGUGGUCGAUGCAGAAUCACAAAUGCAAAAUGAGAUGCGCAAAUGUGACGACAGACCUAUGAUUCGCGUUCACAACUUGUUCUUGUUAAAAGAACUACUCUACAAGUUUGUUGCAAGUUACAGUAAUUGUGAGGAUAUGAUACCUUAUAGAAAUGAUGCCUUAGUGUUUCUUGCUUGCAUCUGCAUUGUUGCAUGCCAUGAUUGUGUUCUGACCAGUUCAUUUCUGUAUUUUACAGGUUGUAUGAUCUUGUCCGUUGCUGCAUCUCCGUUCUGCUCGUUGCUUCAUCGCCGUUACAAUUUUUGAGAUAUCUAAGCUGACGUCUCGAAUAGUUCAGAACAUUCAGUCGGAACUGCAGGAGUCAUCUUCACCUUAAUCUAAAAUAAGAAGGUUUUCCUUUUGCUAGAUCUCUGAAAAAUCUGUAGUGGAGUAAGCGCUGGCAUUACCUAUUGCUCUAGUUUUUGAAGUUAAUUGCAGCUGGCAAAGCUUGCACUAAUGUUUUGAGUUCCAUUGUUCGCUGUGUGGAAGUUACUGAAUUCUAUAGUAGUGGAACACUUGUUCUGGUCUGGUCAUCCUGUAAUUUUCCUUUUUGCAGCUUAACUAUUGUAGGGUAGACAGACUCUAUACAUACUGAAGAAAUGUGCCCGUCCGACAGUCCUUCAUGCUCAGUUGUAGACUUGUAGUGAUAGCUUUGGGUACUGUAUGCACUCUUUCAUGUAAUUGUGUUACCCCGGCGAAAUUUAUAACUAUGAUCUCACAUACUUCAACUUAGAUCUCAGGAAGCGCGGGUGCACUACAUUAUGGAAUGAAGGGAGCAUCUUAUACUGAGUUUAUGAGGAAACAACUGGACUGAUGUUAAUAAUCCAGUGUUGACAAUAAAAAAAGGUGGAAGCACAUUGAGUGGCUUUAGUUUUGUUACCGGACGUACAAUGUACCUUUACUGCACUGUUAUGGAUUCAGAUAAACUGGGCGUGGUGCAUGCCUUUGUAUUGUGUUCGUGAAUGUUGCUUUCUCCAUGUCAAGUCUUUUGUUCUUAGAAAAAAACUCUUUUGUUGCAUCCACAUUAACCAUAUA